rnacentral:rRNA from 1 species
UACGGAGGGUGCGAGCGUUAAUCGGAAUUACUGGGCGUAAAGCGCGCGUAGGCGGUUCAAUGAGUCUGAUGUGAAAGCCCUGGGCUUAACCUGGGAACUGCAUUGGAUACUGUUGGGCUAGAGUGUGGUAGAGGGUAGUGGAAUUCCCGGUGUAGCAGUGAAAUGCACAGAGAUCGGGAGGAACACCAGUGGCGAAGGCGGCUACCUGGACCAACACUGACGCUGAGGUGCGAAAGCGUGGGGAG